ACAAAUGUCUCUUAAUUAAACUGUAGGAACAUAAAUAAAAGGACUUGUUUAAAAAAUUUAGUUAGUUAUUUUAGGUGGAUAGCAAGCAGUCGAAUAGCGAGGCGUCAGAAAAAAGAUAGCACGAAAAAGACAACAAAACAUUUUUACGCUAGUAAUUAACCUUUUUCGGCGCACUUACAACCCCGGUGUCCGUUGGUUGCCAGGCGACAGCUCAGAGCUAACGGUUGUCUGCCUAGCUGAAAAUGUGAGGCAGCGUUUCAAGAAAUGUAUAUUUAAACGCAAAAGCUUUUCAGACGAGUAGUAACAGUGUGCUCUCUUAGAAGUACAGUCAGAGAAACAUUUUUCAUUCUUUACGCUAAGCUAACUACUGUCUUUGGCGUUGUAUAUAAUGAGAGUAGUAGCGUAGUGGGACAUUGAGCGGCUUGGCUCUACUUGAUUGGUGACAGACCUGUCCUGGGGCUUGUGGACCACAAGGGGGCGGUGGAGAUCCAUGAGGAUGAGCACUGCAGCCUAUAUGGGGAAAGAGAGUGGGAGGAUCAGGAUCAGGAUCUGAGCCUGCGACCAGCGCAUCAAGGACUCUAGCUUCAGUAUAUACAGGCAUUGAAACCUGCUCUACCAACUGAGCUAAAAAGGCACCCAUUCAUGGAGUGUUUAAAGGUAUUUUGUCGUAAUACAAAGUCUUGGACAUUUAUGUUUUUCACUGAAUAAUAUCAGCAACAAGAGGCUGCAGAAAAAUGUGAAAACAACAGCCUACAAAGCUUAAUUUUAAUGUGUGACCUCAUUCCUCAAUCAGUGUUUUAUUGGAUGGAGACAGCAGUAACUGUCUCUCUUGUAUGUACAGAUGGUGAUUCGAAUUAAAAAAGAAAAUACACUUAAGUGGCUGUAAAUAUACCUGGCUGGCCUACCCAUGCAUUGUCUUUGUGUAAGAAAUACUGAUUAUCA